rnacentral:rRNA from 1 species
GAUGAACGCUGGCGGCGUGCCUAAUACAUGCAAGUCGAGCGAACUUUCGGGAGCUUGCUCCCAAUAGUUAGCGGCGGACGGGUGAGUAACACGUGGGUAACCUGCCCGUAAGAUUGGGAUAACUUCGGGAAACCGGAGCUAAUACCGGAUAACAUUGAAGACCACAUGGCCUGCAAUUGAAAGGUGGCUUUUAGGUACCACUUACAGAUGGACCCGCGUCGCAUUAGCGUGUUGGUGCGGUAACGGCUCACCAAGGCGACGGUGCGUAGCCGACCUGAUGGGGUGGUCCGCCCACCUGGGAGUGAGACACGGCCCAGUCUCCCACAGGAAGGAGCCGUAGGGAAUCGUCCGCCAGUGGCGGAAGUCUGACGGCGCAACGCCGCGGGAGGGAAGAAGGACGUCGGGUCUGAAAGCUCGGUUGUUAGGGAAGAAAAAGUAUCGGUCUAAUAGGGCGGUACCUUGACGGUACCUAACCAGAAAGCAACGGCUAACUACGUG